GGAAUCCUCUUCACUUUCUCCCCUCCUGCCCCCAUCUUCGUUGCAUUGCACAAAAAUUCAACAACCACUAAAAUGUUUAUGCGCAUCUGUUUCUAGAAGGGAGCAGGGGAAAAGCAGUUCUCAGUCUUCUUCCUUAUUUCGCUGAGGCCUUUGUUUUCUUAGAAAUAUAAACCUCUGAUGCAUGUUACUAUGUAGCAAUGACUAAUUUUUGUCUUUUUCUAUUGAUUUCAGCUGCAGAUCCCUUUUUGCUGUGCAAGCGUGCGAGCGCGGGUGUGUACGGUCAUAUAAAUGUAGCGUGUUUACAGAGAAAUACUAGUAUGUAUCUAUUGUACACAUAUAUAAAUACCUGUUUUCUGUUUUUAUGGAUAUAUACUGUACAUGGCGUAUAUACUUGAGCAAUAUAGGUUAAUAUAUACUGUGUGAAUGUGUGUAUAUUCUAGAUACACACUUAGCAUGUGUAUAUGUAGUAAGUACUGUAUACACACACACAUUCACCAUAUAUUUUUAAUUCAAGUAUAUAGGCAAUCUGAAUAUUUAGAUAUGCUGUCUGGAUUUCUCAAACAUUUUUAAAAAAGGAGAAGCAGCUAAUGAAGCAGCGGCUUAUUUCACUUGUUGCCAGUGAAAUGUCCAGAGCAAAGUAUCUGCAGGCUGAUCUUGGUUUUGUCAGUUACAGAAACACUCCUUUCCUUUUUAGUUUGCUGCCUUGGAUAGAAAGCGGUCUAAAAAAGAUUGUGUGGUUUGUUUGUUUUAAUUGCUGCAUUGAAUUGCUUUAACGAGUAAAUAGUGAAAGUUGUGUUUCAAAGUGCCUGUUCAAACCCCAAAAUCCACUUGGCAUAGAAUAGACAUCCACCCAAUUGUGUGAACAAGUGCAGAACUGGGAUCUUGAUUUUAUUUUAUCUUUUGGAGUUCAUAAGCAAUUUUUGUUUAAAGCAACCGAGCAGCUUUCUAACUUCAGCCUGUAGGAGGAGCACAGUCUGGAAAUCUGUGAAUGAAAACUUGUGAAAACCUGCUGCCUUUUGAGCCUGUGUUGACUAAAAAGUCUGCUAGUUCAGUGUGAAAUUCUCACAGCUUUCUCUGUGCAAGUGCACGUGUUUCUUUGUUGGUGCUUGGGAUUUUCUAACUGGAUUUUAUCAUGAAGGGUUUUAGCUUUUUAGAAAUAGGCAAUUUUGGGGAGAUCUGGCUGCUGAUGAUUUAAUGGCAAAAAAACAAGCUGCUGCUAAAGCAGGUGUUGCUAUCUAUUAGAACCUUAGUAUUUAUUGCUCUGAUUGGCGGUUUAAAUCAAUGCAUAAUUUUAUAACAGGUUGAAGUGAGGGGAGGGUUUUUUAAAAAUAAGAAUGAAAAAUCUUGAUGUGGUAUUUGAAAGUUUGUUGUUCUUGCAUCUUAUAAUCAGAAUCUCCUGACUCCCUGGAGUGGUGUUUGUAAGAACCCAGAUGGGAAAGGUACUUUACCAAAAACAUCAACUAGUUUUGUUUUCUUGCUUCUGUAAGCAGAUCCUGUCUAACCCACUUUAAGCUACCAACUUUUGUCUUCCCCAUAAGUGCAUAAUUGGACAUCCUUUUAGAGGUUUGGAUGUCUUUUUGAAUCCCUUAAGAAACAGAUUUGGUUUUUGAAUAUUUCAAGAUUGUUAUGGGAUUAUCUCCUCUUUUCCUUCCUGUGGAGAGGUUUAGUUCAAGUCUCCUAUUUUGUAUGGGACUUUGAGGUUGUGGAAUCUGUGGUAGGUCUUGUUAGAAUUAGGAUCAUCUUAAUGGAAAUGUGGUUUCAAGAGAGUGAUCCACAGGCAGCUAUUUCCAAUGUUGUUUUUUUUUUAAUUAUUUUUUAGUUUCCCUCCCAGUUUAGUCUGACUAUUCCCAGGGGCAGCCAGAGAAUGUUGUUGAACAGAAAUGAAUUGAGCCUUCUCUGUAACAAAAAACAUGCUGAUGUCAGACCCUAGGAAGGGGAUGCAAGUGAAGUCUAGCAGUAAUUUACUCUCCCGUACAAAACACACCGGGCUCUUCGAGGCACAUUAUAGAAGAGAAGUGUUACUGGAAGUGAGGAUCCCUGGAGCCAGUGAAACCAUCCUGGAGUAAUUGAUCAGGUUCAGUUUAUCUGGAAUCUUAGGUUUUCUUUUCUUGGCCUUUCGAGGAACAUAAGGGUGUCAAGUACAGCAGCCGAAGCACACUGUCUCUGCAGCAUUCUUUUGCUAGAUAGUAACUUGGAGAGUAACCACGAACCUGGGCUUUCCCUCUGAAGACACGUUAGAAGGGAGGGGAAGGAGGGCAGAGAACAUGCAGCAUAGUAAAAAAGCUCAAUUUGGAGAAGACAAUAAAUCUGUCCUAUACGUUCAAAUGCUUUUGACUCCUAUAGUCUAAUAUUUUGUGAGAUGACUGCCCAGGUAUUCCCACGCUCACAAAGUCUCUCAAGUGGGCCUCUCCCAUUGGUCACUUGGGGUCAGAUUUUGAUACUGUAAGACGGUCACAUUACCUUUACUCCACAAUUCAUAUUAAUCAGGGUUGAUUUGAUUUAAAUCAAAUUGAUUUAAAUCACUAGUCAGGAAGACUCGAUUUAAUCAUGGUUUUCUACAUAAAAGUGCAUUCUUAUUGGUUGUUAUAACCUUAAUACAUAUUCUCCACAACUCAGAGAUAGAUGUAGUUUUCAUUUUUUUUUAGAAGGUACAUGCUAUACAUUUUUAAACAGUGAUUUAUUUUGAAAACUUUUCAGAUUAGUUUUACAACUAUAUCAGAAAACAAAUGAUUGUUUGGUUAUUUCAUUUACCAAAAGUAGUUGAAGCAGAUAUUUAUGAAGUCAUUGGGAGGUGAACUAUCUCAAAUUCAACAGGUUAAUCAUUAAUAUUUGGAGGAUUUUCUUGCCAUGCUGUAUUAGGAGGAGAACAUCACCAGACAGACAUUUAAAUUGUUUUAUUUAACUAAAACAACAACGUUAAGUAUUCUGAAUUUUUUUCUUCAACAGCAAACACAUAUUUUAACAAAACAAGCAUAUAUCCCUUGCUUCUCACAUUUAUCUCCAGACUACUUCUCCUUGUCCAGAUCUAUGCCGUCCCCAACAAGCUUCUAUUCAUUGAACUUUUUGAAACUUUGCGCCUUUAGAGAGAGGUAAGGGAUUGACUCUAUGUACACAAAUUUGCAGAGGGACAAUAGAGUUGAGGUCUGUUAUUUUUCACCUCUAUAUAUUAUUUAUUUAUUUUAAAACAUUUUUGCUGUUAACAAGCAUGUUACCUUUGGAGACACAAAUCCACAGUUUGAGAAAUGAAAAACUAAGCAUCUCUGAUGGUAUCCUCUAAACUGAGCACUGAGUCUUAUUGGGUAGAUAGAAAGAUUAAUCUAAAUAAUCUAUACAGAAGCCCCUGGAACCCAAUAAGAUUGGAUCCCUAAUCCGUGAACUAUUGGAACUCAUUUACAGAACUUUUCUUAAACAUUACAUGAAUAUAUAGUCUCAUAUUAUAAAAUUAGAAUUUAUAAUCCCUAUUCCAUGAUGAGAUAUCUUUGAGCUAUAAUGUAUCUUAAUUAAAACUAUCUUUAGAUAGGCUUUUUCCUCAAAAAGCAUUUUACCAAAAAAAUCCGAUUUAAAUUUAAAAAAAUCAGUUUUUUUAAAUCAUUGAUUUUUAUCCACCCUAGUAUUGAGUCAUCCCAUUGAAGCCAAGGAAACUGUUUGUGGAGUAAAGCCCUAAUCAGCGUGAGUUAUCAGCAUCUUGCCCUGAAAAAUGUACCAUUUUUGUCGUCUUAAAUCUUUCAUAAUACAAGGACAUUUUUUGCUCCUACAGAUGUAGUUGACCUUGAGGAGCCAGAUCUUCAGCUGAUGUUAGUUGAUAGAGCAUCAUUGACUUCAGUGUAGACAUGGCAACUGACGCCAGCUUGAGGGCCUGACCUGGGAUCUUCCUAGUCCUUUUGGAAUCCUCACAUCAGUGGCAGUAGUUUCACAUGCAGGUCCUGGCCCCACACUCACCCCAGGAUAAAUCAGAAGUGAAUGCAGCUGCAUAUAUAAACCCAUUGUGGGUGAGAUCAGAAGUGGGCCCUUCACUCAAUAACCAGAACGAAAGCAUGUAUUGGAUGGUUUUAGGUCAGGCAGUGUGUGCGGGGGAAACCCCUGUGGGUGAUAAAUGGUGUCAAGGUUUUGUUUCUGACUGCAAGGCAGGUGACGGAUCUGGGCAUCAGGGUUUUGCUUCUGUCUGUGCAGGGCAGGUGAGGGCUCCUGGCAUCAGGAUGUGAGGCAUUAUUGAGGAGCAAACAUGGAAGAUUGGUCCCUGUUGCAAGUGAGGGUGUCUCAGAGUUUGCAACAAGGAAAGGUGAGGUGAGAUGCAAAACCGAACGACGCAAAAUAAAUAAUUUUGUUUUUAUUAAUCUUGCAAAAAGAACAAAUACGUCUUUGGUUUAGUCACGAAUCGAAGCUGAAUUGCAUUCUUUUUUAAGACAACUUUUUUUUCCCCAGCCCAGUGGAGACCUCAGUCAGAAUCAAGUUGUUUUGUCUCAAAGAGCCGGCCUUGAGGAGAGAGAGUAUUAGCCCACCCAUAAGUGGAAAUAUUCAGUAAAUCUUUCUAAUGUUGCAACCUCUUUCCCAGGAAAAGCCUAGAGCAUCUCUGCGGUAAGAUCUGGGUCACAAACUCCGGUGCCUGCACAGAGCUUAUUGGAGUAUCAGGGCCUUAGUUAAUAGCGUGACCUCAGUAGUCUUCUGACCAAAGUAGAGUGGGGAGUUGGCACCCUAGUUUAGGUUAUGGGACUUGAGGGGGAGGAGAGAGAGCUCCCCCAGAUUGAUUUGUUUUUUAUCUGGUUUCCCCCACUCUUUCUCAUGUGGGGUAUUUUUUUGCGGGACAACCCCAUCCCUCCUGCCUAUGCAUUGUAUCUUCCUGAAAAGCAGAACCUUAAAAACAGAGUGAAGAAAGCAGAGAUAUGGCAAGUAACAUCUCAUGCCCUGUAGGCCAUGGUUUCAAGAGCUCCUCAUUCAACAGCUUAGCAAUGUUACCGGGAUGAUGGAAAAUAUAUGUGGCGGGGGGGGGGGUGUUGCCCUGCUAGCCACUGGAGUGAUUGUGGGGGAGAUAAUAGACCAGCCAAGUCUGAACUUCAGCAGCUGGCUCACAAGCAAAAAUGUCGCCUAGAAGAAUUCAUUAAAGGACAUUUUCUGGUGGAGCUUAUUUUUUUAUUCUUAACAACAGUAAGCAGCUUAAGGCAUCUCACUUAGCUGUUAUUAGUGCAGUCUAUAAACUUGGAAUGGAUUAAACUUUUAUUACCUGCCAGAUAGUAAAAUCCAGUACUACUUUGGCCAAAUACAAUUGUGUGUGUGUGUAAUAGAUAGUGUGUAUAUUUGCAUGCAUAUGUACUGGCUGAGAUUUAUAAAGCUACCUAAGAAAUAUGGAUGCCCACUUCCCAUCUAUGCAUGCAUAUAUGCCUCUAUAAUGUGUCCAUUGUACAGACAUAUCUAUGUGCGUGAAUUAAUCGAAAUCGAGCAUACAGAUCCCUUCGACAGCUUUGCACUUCUCAGCCAGUAAGUAAAUGCUACAUGCACGUGCAUAUGUGCAGUAGAUUCUUUCCAUUAUUCAGUCCCAUAUUUCUGUAGGCCAAUGCUAAACUAAGAAUCUAAUGUUUUUAAAUGAUCUCUGCUUUACUCUUUCCCAUCCACCUUCCCCCCCUUACCCCCAGCCCCAUCUAAUUGUCUUAGCUUAAACCAAUAAACGUGUGUGCAGUAUGUAUGUUAAUAGCCUUAUGUCAGCCCCACUAGACUAUAUGCCAAUAGAACUGACCAUUUCCCUGUAUCCAGAAAGACGAUGACGGGCUCUGAUCCCAUGCCACUGAAGUCCAUGGGAAUUUUGCCAUUGAGUUGGAUGGCUCCCUAAGUUAGAACUGAGUUGCUGCUUGCCGGUAGUGAAAGAAGAACUGAGCUGAAACCACAGAGUGUGAGCUGACGAGAGGGCUGGGGCCAAAAGGAGGCAGCAGUGGCUUUGCCAGCAAUAGGAGAGAAUUGUACGACAGGAGCCAGAAAACCCUUCGCGAAGGGGGGAGGAAGGGAGCAUCCUUUUGCUCUUCUCUUUGUACAUGAAAAACUAACUCUUUUACUUUAAUAAGCAACAAAACAAAAGCCCAUAGACUCUGCAGAGGGAACAUUGGCCAGGCAUGGCCAUAAAUCUCAUAGCAAACACUCAAGCCAAGAUGCAGUGAAACUGGCUCAUCUCGGCCCCCACCCUCUACUUAGAGAUGCAAUUCACCCCAUGCAGAGGGUCAUCUCAAGGCAACAUAGCACUUCUGAUCCACUGUAAGUGACACCCAGCAAUGGACUGGUCCUAGACAAAGGGACGAAUGUCACCCUCGGUUUGUACUGUGUAAGAGGCUGGUUUUCACGUGGGCUCCGGUGGCCUUAGCAGGUUGGUUUUGUUCUGUCUCUCUGGUUUUGGUCUGAGUUUGUCUUUGGUCCUCUUGAUAUGUUUUUUACCUGACCUGAGCUCUGGGUGUAAAAUCAAGGUAUGGCUGAGUUUUGUACAGCUGCAAGCAGUCUUCCCACUGCUUACAUAGUAAUACCUCAAACUUAACAGUUACUAUAGUAUCUGCUGAAGGAGUUUGAUUGGUGGCAAAUGCUCAGGACCAGGUGCAGAGCCUUGGUUGUGCAUAAGCAUUUCCAGCUAGAACUCACCAUCUUCUUUCACUGGCUACUCAAACCCCCAUCAUAUGCCACUAGGCAAUAUCACAAAAAUGGCUUCAUUCACUUCCAGUUGCUGCAUGUUAUUGAUCAGUGAAAGGCAAUGUUUAUGCAGUAGGGUUUUUUCAGCUUUCCAGUGGGAUAUUGUGGGUUUGGUACCAGCCUUCAUCAAUUACAAAAUAGCUAAAUAAUAAUUAUUACCAGUUAUUUUCUAAUCUGAAAAUGAACUAAUACCAAGCUCUUAGUUCUCUAGCCUUCAAGGGGAAUGCCACUGUGCUAAAAAGAGAAACACCUCCACCAUUUUCCCCAGUCUGAUUUUUACAGAGAUAUAACUGUUCUGAACACCAAUGUUCUUUAAGGCCCCAAUCCAGCAAAGCCUGUGUGCAAGCCUAUUUCCAUGCUUAAAACUAUGCACAUGCUUAAGAGUGGAUGCUGGAUUGCAGGGAAAUAGGGGGGCAUUUGAAUUGAGUGCAUCAUGUGAAUAUGUACCUCCUUUAAAAUGAACCCAGUCUCUAAAUCUCAUACAUGUUCUUUUCACAUGAGCUGAAAGGGUGGCAAGCGAUUUCCCCUCUCUUUGGCCAAUACAAGCUUUUAGGGGCAUUUAACUGCUAGAAAACUCUUAAUUCAGGCACUGGCUUGACAGUGGGCUUGUAGCUUUGUUUCUCGUCUAUGCUUCUCAGCCUGUUACAGCCAUGCCAGUGAUGGAUCAGGCUAGCUGGUGCUUGUAUGGUACAUGUCAGUGACUGAUGGGUCAGGCUAGCUGAAAUUAAUCCCAGCUGUGAACAGUUGUGGGAACUCUAUCUCAGUGGGUCCCUAUGACCUAUAUACAGGGGGGUCAGGAGGGUGCAUGUUUUGGAAGUCAGCCGUCAAAAGGCUGAAGUUGGUGUAAUUAUACCAGGAUGUGGCCUGGUAUCUUCAGUUUUUUGCAUUUCCUGGGAUGCAGCACAGGGGAGCCAAAGAGGGGCAACUUAUGGGGCCCACGCUUCCCAAAAUGCAGGGGUUCUGGUUUUAAUCCCAAAGCAGAAAGCCACUCAGACCAAGUUGGGUCUGAUAGUCUCCAUAGGCUACAGUGACCAUUGAAGAUUAGGGUCAGAUGUCGUCUUCUCCUUUUUAGGCAGAUUAGGCUGAUGCUCUUGGCAAAUUGUCAGUAUAGCCCUUGUGUAGGCAAAGCUGGGGCAUCAGUUAUCUGCUACCUUGGGCUAUACACCCCUGACAAAACAUAGUAUUAAAUGCAAGAUUUGAUGACAGGACAGUUCCCCUUUGCAGUAGCCACAAGAUCCCUCUGUUUAAGAGCUGAUCUCUUUCAACCUGCAAUAUCUAAAACAGUGUUGCCAAGCUCUCCUAAUACUGGGUGGGUUUUGUUCUUAAAGCCCUAGCUGUAUUCAUGUGAAUACAUGAGAAUCUCAGCUUCCAUUUUUUUUAAAAAUAAGUUUUACCAGACUUGGUUGGGCAGAAAUGCUUGUAAAGGUGACCUGAGUCCCCCCCAAAAAGCUCUGAAACCAGAAGGCAAAGAAAAAGAACCCCAAAUUUAUCAUUUAAAAAAAAUCCUGAUUUUUUUAAGUCCACACUCAUGAUUUUUGAAUGUGUUAGGUUGGCAAUAUUUCUAAAACAAAAAUCCUUAUGUAAAAAGCUGGCCCCCCCAGUAUACAUCUGGAAAAGCAGAGAGCUUUACCCUUCAGUAAGACUUAGGAUGUGUGUUAGAAGAGAGAGAUCCUUAAACAUAACACAUCAUCUGGAGCACACACAGGUGUGUCAGAGCUGUUCUAGACAGUUACUUGGUUAACCUGCCGCACUAUGCAUAGAUCUUCUAUUUAGCUAGUCUUGUCUUGAAGAAAUAAUUGAAUUUUGAAUGUCUCCUUUCUGCCAGCUGUUCUCCAUGUUUUCCUUUUGUGUUUUUGUGCAUGUGUGGUGCCGUUUCACAUAGGCUUAGGUGAAAUCCAGUCAGUCAGUAUUCAGGAACAUCUCAUUGACAGAUGUUUUUGCUUAUAGGUUAAGUUUACAAAAAAAAGACAGUUCUGCAAUAGAAACUUCCAGUUUUUCCUUUGUAUGUUGGGAAUGGGUAAUGUCUGCUUUGAGGUGAAGGCCUAGGCUUUACUUCUGUUGUGCAUUUCAUUACAAAAAAUAAUUUCCCCUCCCUCAAUAUCAUCAUCACCACCACCGCAUCCCUCCACGGUUGCUCAUUCUCAAAUCGGCAGGUUUUGGUGACUAAAUAAUGUUCUGUCUGAGCAGUACAGGGCUGACCAUUAUAACUCCAAGGGCCCAAUUCUCAUUUACACCAAAGUCACUUUAUGCCAUUCUGGCAAUGUCAAGGGAAAUUCAAAUGGGUGCAGACUACAUUCAUGCCCACUUUAAAGCCUCUUAGCCCUGCCAGAGCAAUGAAAAAAGGGGCCUUUCAUAUAUCAAUGAAAAUGAGACCCCCAAGGCUCUUUGCUACUCCCAUCUUCCUCUGGGUUUUUAUUUGCUCUGACUUUGCAAACAUAUACUGUAGUGUAGGGGACAGGAGAAUACAUUUAUUGGUUUUGAGGUGGAGGUUGUUUUUUAAAACUUCUCUGGGGGGGAUAAGAAUGUCCAUUUUCCCAUUGUUUUUGAUGGCCUCUUCAAGUGCAAUUCUGAAAAUAUUUCCCAAUGCAAAGGCAAUCCUCGGUUGUCAGCAGAUUUCCUAUAGGUGUGGGAAAACCCGCUGCUAAUAAUUAUAACAACAUAGGUCUUAAUCCUGCAAUUGAUGGUAAGUGACUGCUGCUAUCAGUUACCGGAUCUGUGGCCUUAAGCUGCAGUUCAAGAGCAGAAUUCUGACCGCCCCACUUCACUCUUGAAGUCAGUAGCAAAAUUCCCACUGACUUCAGUGGGACCAGGACCCAGCCCUCUGUCCCAUUGACUGUCUCUCUUCAUUCAUAACCCCCUGUGCUUUACCUGUAGUAACUGAUAUUCACUGCGGUCAUUAGAGGUGCUGAUGAAGGACUGCGGACUUGUUUGAUCACAUGCCAGAUACUGUGCUGGCCUUAGAUUCAGAAUCUGGGAAGGGGUAGUCCUAGAGGCUGAUAGUUUGUUGGUUCUGGCUCUAAUUCUGCAGUUUUUCCUGCCAGUGCAAACUCCUUUCUGUGUUAUUUUUUAGGAGGUCAACCAAAACAAGGCCCUCAGACCCACAAUGCCGGUGUCAGACUGAAAUGACAGUGUUCUCAUUGAGUGAAUGGGCCAUGCCUUUUCAGUGUUCUCUAACACUACCCUUGGAGGUCAUGUAUUUAAUGCACCAGCUCUCAGUGCUGGAUGCUGUAAACCCUUACUUGCAUGAGUAGUUAACCUCGAUGGCUCCAGUAGGAAUAUGGAGGGCCAGUCCCGAGCUCCUUGGUGGGCCUAGGCCUGAUAGAUGGAAUUUUGAACUGGGGGCCCCCCGAAAUCCUGUUUCUAAGUCUAAUCCUGUUUCAAAGAAACCUGAGAGCGGGGCUUUGUGGAGUGGGCUGUUUGUCGGAUUUUCCCAACAUCAGUGUUACUUUGCUUCAAACAGCUCGACCCUAGACUGCACCUUGAGAACUUUCAUUUGGAUGGGCUAUUUUAAUGGAAUGACCAUGCCAAUUCUUAGCUGAGUAUUUUGGGACAGACUCUGGUGUAGAACUAGAGAGAACCUCCUUGCAGUCAGACCCCCUUGUAAACUCUGUUGCACUUAGCAGAGUUACUCCAGAUUUACCCUAAUGUAACUCGCAUCAGAAUCUGGUCCUUUCUCUAGGGCACUUUGCUGUUAAUGGCCAUUUUAUUACUGUUUUGACUUGCUUGAACAGGGCAUUGAUUACUCUUUUUCUUGAAUUAAAAAUCCAAUCCUGGUCCAAAUUACUGGUAAGCAGACUGAAGCAGAACAUAGUUAGGAGGCUGUUGUGUGGCUCAGGUUUUCUGGCAAAUAACCAGAUCAGAGAAAUUCUCAUUCCUAAGCCUUGCCAACCUAUGGCCGGUCACUCUUCCCAUCUUGUGUUUCAUUCAGCCCAGUUGGAAAAUUGGGAUAAACACCACUGAAAUCUCCAGAGACUCCUUGAACACAAUGCAUUUUAGCUGAACUUUCCUGUGUAACUUAAUCACCAGUAUGAUAUGUUCAAGCUCUAAAUGGCAUCUGAAUUUUUGGCAAACGCUUCUGGUGCUGAAAGCAAAAUUGUUGCUGUUAUCGUACAGUACGGUGUGGGGGACUGGGGGUGUGAAAAGAAACAUUUGGUAACACGGCCUUGUUUAUUUCCAUUGUGUUCUGUCUUUGCUAGUGUCUUGCAGAAACGGGAAUUUACAAAGCCGUUCCUUAUUUGGAACCAUCUUUUUUUUUUUUUUUAAUUGGGAUAAUGAUGUGAUGAGACUUUUCUUUAAAAAAAAGUGCUACAGAAAGCAGCUAACUGAAGGGGCAGUUCACCCCUAUGCAAAGGACUGGUGCAACACUUGUGUUCCCUGAGACUUUAAUCAUGCACAGACUGACGCACGUAUGCAUGUUGAGUGGCUCAGCUGAAGCCAGUGGGGCGGUUUGCAGCAUGCAGAAUUAUGCCCAUGUAUCAGUCUUUGCUAGGUUGAGGUGGAAAGGCUUCAGUGAGAUUUAAAUGGUUGAUAGCCCUUAUGCCAGCCCUCUGCACAGAGGUGAAUUUCACCUGGUCGCGUUGCAACAGCAGCGAAGGGUCUCAUUCUUGUAUGAAGCGUGGGGCUGGAAGAUGGAUGGUUUUGCUUUACACAGAGAGUGCACAUGCUUAUUUUACUUGCUGGUCUUUUGCUGAAACUCGAGAUUUAUUGUACUGUAUGGAAAAGAAAAAAAACCCUAAUGUUCCAAAACAAAUGACAGUAUAUUUUGUACUUUGUAAAGUGUUAAUUAAAAUGGAAAAAAAAAAAAAAAGCGAAACAUACACUGUCUGCUUUUGUACUGAUCAAACUGAUUAAAAUAAAGCAGAGCUUGGCAUUGUCUUUAUAAGAUGUAACUCUCUUUUGUUAAGCCUUUUCUAAAAGGCAACGAAUGCCAGGGAAAGAAAAGUCUAUCCUAGGUUUUAUCCCAGUACUCAGCUGCUUGCAUCAAAUGGUGACACGGCAGCUAAGAUCCUGAACAUCCUGUUGACCCUUGUACUCACACCAAGCUCCAAUGAAUUAUAUGGGCCUCUCAAGAGUUGCGAGGGCCUGUUCUUGUAGAUCCAAUUGUAGGGUCAGGGUUUAGGUGGUAGCAGGCACCAGAAGGUCCCUGGCCAAAUCCAGCCCUAAUGGGUAUCGAUAUGACUCUGCUGAACGCCUGGAGGGCAGUUCCAACUCUGAAAUCAAGCCCUCCGUCAGGACGCCAUGUGUGCAGGGAGGGAUGCCGGCGUUCUUGGUGGUACCAUCCUCCAGGUGCACUGGUGACACAGAGCUCACUCAGCUGGAAGGUAAGCGAUCCAUCCCAUUGCACUCUUUGAAAGCAGGAGCCAGUAAGCCUAGUGCCGUCCCUUAUCGGGGGUGGGAGGUGAAGAGGGGGACUGCAGAACUGUCUCCAACUAUUGCAUUGUACAAGUGUCACUAGCACCUUUUGGACCAUUGUUGUUAAUUAUUAUUAUUAUUAUUUAUUAUUAAGUGCUGGCAAACGUUCCCUUGUUCUGACAGGUAUCUCCCAGGCUGUGGGAGCUAUGGGUGUGUGUUUGCCUACACAGUCACUCCCUCUCUGCACUGAAGUCUGUGCUUUGGGAAGAAGGGUGCCGCACAAACCCGAAUCUGAGCUAAACUUGCCACUCUGGCUCCGUGGAGGGUCUCCAUCCAACUGGACCCAGGCCCAUGUAGAUAGGCUUUUGUGGAGGUCUGGGUAAGGGGAGUUGAGGCCAGUGCUUUACCAUCCAAAGAUCCAAAUGACCCUGAUCUUCUGCCUCAUUCCCUUGACUUAGGACCCCUGCUCGAUGUGCUGCAGACUCCCUUAGGCUAGCUGUCCUCACAGCAGUGCGCAGGCCAGUACUCCACGCAAUUUUGAAGUUCACAGCUGGAGUCUCUGCCAAGGGAUGAAAUCCAGUAUGGACACAUCACCGCGUCAUGGUGGACACAUCAACCCUAUGCCACGGCUGGCUGCAUUUGCUGUGGUCGUUGGCAGGCUGUGCAUUGCCCUGGUCCCGUCCUGGCCUGUGUUAUCCCUUCAGAGAUUUGAAGACUGGAAGACGAAGUUGAGUACUGUUCCCAGAUCGUCUACACUGGAGUGGAAUGCCAGGAUCCCAGCAUUGUCUUCUCCUGAAGAGCAUCACUCAGUGGAGGGGAACAUCGAAAACAUAAGAAGUGUGGGAAACAGGCAUCUCCCCUGGAAAACUUGUCCCUCCAUUCAAGUGAGAUUUUAAGGCAGACCAUAAAAUAUUUUGCACCAAAUUCAGAUAUGCCUAAGGACCUUGCAGCGAUCACACUAUGUUGUACAGGAUAGACACACAGGAAUUUCACUCAGAUCUUCAUGGUCCUAAAAGCACAGGUCAUCACUACGUGAGCUAAUGGAGAAUCUUCAUUAACUGUUAGCAGUAUAGAGCCUAUGAAACAUGCUUGAGUAGUUCUGAGUCCCUUUAAUAGAAGACAGCGAUGCAGUCUCAUGACUGGUUAUAUUUAAAUAAGCACAGAUGGUAGGAUUUGGUCUGAAAUGUAUCCACUUGAACAAAAAUUACAGAUCCCUCAAUAAAAUAAGAAUUGAUUUGUUUGUCAGGUCUAAAGCUCUUCCGGUCAGGGACCAUAGCGUCUCCUGUGUUUGCAGAGUGCCUAACAGAAUGAGGCUCUGGGUGCUACCUCAAUACAAAUAAUAAGAAAUGUAUUUGAUAAGAAGGGGCUUGGGGAAAAAGUCCAAACUAACAGAUCAGGCCUGAUCUACUGUAUUUUAGGACUUCAAUGACUGAUAGAAACUCCCAGUUUUGUUGCAGCUUAGUUUGAGCACUCUGUAGUAUGCUUAUAAAAAUAAGAGGAUGGGAAGUCAAACCAAAGCAGGUCUAUUUUUGAGGUCUUCAAGUUCUAGUUCUCAGAAUCAUUUGUAUUAAAGGAUCCUUGAGGGGCAAGAUAUAGUUGGUCUGAGUAUUGACCGUGCCUAAAAUAAUCCUGGCUUUACAGGAUGUAAUAUAUUUAAUUUACAGUGACAUGGUUUAUUAAUGCACUCAGGACCAUAUUUUUCCCUCCGACAGCCCCAGCCCCAUGAGGUCAGCGAUAUUGCCUGAAUCUAGCUAAGGGUGGAGCAUGAGCCAUCCCAGUAGGAUUUGCAGGUAUGGAAGUGCAGAAAUGAAUAGCUGGAGCAGAGCACAAAUAAAAUAGUCUUUCCGCCUGGUAGCAGUCAUUUUAAUAAAAAUCCUGCAGCUGACAUUACUAGGUUCCCAUGUCCCAGCUGAUUCGCCACGGGCUGCGUGAGUCAAGGAGACUAAAUUCCCCUCACCCUCAGAGAUCGGCCAUGUGCUGUACAGUAUCUGUUGUAGGAAUAGCUGAAGGACUUGACCUUAUAGGGCUAUCAGCCCAUUGUCUUACUCAAGUAUUAAAUUCAGCGGUGCAGACCCUGGGGUAGCACAAGCCAGGAUUUGGAUUUUCAAAACCAACUGAUGUCUUUGGGCUCUCCAAGUUGUUGGUACAGUGUAGUAUUAACGGUUAAUAACUGUAUCACUGGACAAUCCAGAUUGGGGCCCUGUUAUGCUCGGAGCUGUACACGCACGGGGGAACUGUGUUUCCUGCCCUGAAGAGUUUUCACUCUAUUUUCAGCCAAAGCUGAUAGCACAGUGGUAUUUGUAAAGCAAAUGACUCGUGCUAAUCAAUGCAAAUCAAGUAGGUUAUUUUUGUUCUAAUCUAAGAUGCUCCCUAUGUGUCUUCCCUGUUCUCCCUCCUCCACACCCUCCCCUUUACUGGUAUAUUUAUGGCUGUCUAAUUUGCUACUUUGAAGGACAAAGUGGUGCAGAGAUUCCUUCCAUUGUACUAGUUCUCAGCUCCCUACCCUGGGACUAGAUUGUUAAUUAUACUGACAGCUGUGUUCCUAAACAGAUGUAAUCCGUCAUGGGGGCGGGGGGGGGGGGGGGGAGAAAUGUAAACUUUGCAACCCCUGGGUGCCUCCAACAGGUAAAAUCUUUCCUAUUUUCCUCGUAUCCAACAUUUUUAAAAGGUUGAUCCUCCGUGGGACAGUAGAGGACAGAAGAAUAUUGAAAAUCGGGCAUUUUAGUUACCGAGUGGGUGGACGACUGAAGGAAAGAAAAGGACUCCUCUCUAGACAUGUUUAUAACACGUACCUGCUACAGGAUGUGGGAUUUACAGGAGGAUAUAAAGCCUGAUAUAUAAUCAUGGCCUGGAGCUUGUGCUCUGGCGGAAAGUGCUACAUCUGCAGGGAGAUGCAAUCUGAACAGCGUGCCCUGUGAUGUGGGAAGGGGAUUGUGCGUGUGCAAAUCAAGAGUGGCACGUCUCAAUUCAGCAAGAUGCUAGGAAAGGAAUUUGCCUUCUAUCCACAAAACAUCACCUGAGCCAUCAGCUAAUGCCGCCCUAGCCAGAGUGGGCAGAGACGAUGCCAACAGGCCUAAAGGGGAAAGCACCAUUAAAAAGGACCCACCGGUCUGCAGCAAGAAAGGGGAUUUCUCUUUCCAGAGAGUGACACCGCAGCAUGGGGGGAAAACUAGACUCGUCAGCAAGGGACUGGCCGUUCCUUCAAACCCUGGCCAAACACACCAUGCUCACAGAGGACCCAGGCCGAACAGCACCAGAACGGCAUCAUGCCCAGACUCAACUGUGCAGUUCCAUGGAUAUGCAUCUGGAGGCAUAGUACAGACCACUGCUGUGGGGAGACAUUACUGAAUGAUAUAUAGCCAAGUUUCUCUGGGAUGAAAUAUAAUGGCACUUGGAAGGAGACGUUGAGUAACACAGACAAUGGCUGGAAUGAACGAGAAGUGCUGAGGAGAGAGUCCUGAUCCUGAAGUGAUCUUGCAACCAAGUUAGUCGAACAAGAAAAACAGCUUUCCUCUGCAUCCUGGCCUCUUCUGAUGAAACAAGCGCAUGGUCACGUCCCUUUGUGGGGACAAAGGAUUUUUACCCCCCUUGGAGAUGGCAGCAUCUGUUGUUCUUCAUGUUUCCUAACUGUGGCACCUGUGGUUUGAAGGACUAGAACAGGCAUAUAAAUCACAUGGACAAGGGCUCUCACUCUGAUCUGACUGCAGCACUGAAGGAACUGGCUUCUUUAAAAGUAAAGUCCAAUGGGGCAGGAAACAUGGUUGGUGAAGACCGUCACCCCCUCAAAGUGACAGCAGUGGCAUUUAAAGUUCUACUGCCAUCUGUACAAGUCUCAAAGGAGAUGUCAGUGUCAUCAUCGCCAUCUUACAGAUGGGGAAACUGAGGCAUUGACCAGAGUCAUCCAGCUUGUGAGAAGCAGAGUCAGGAACAGAACCCAAGUAUCCCGAGUCCCAGUCCAGUGCUCUCUGCACUAGGGUAUACUGCCUCAGAAGUCACCUGGUAUUUCUGUUUCCUGACUGGAUGCCAAAAAUAUACCCCACACAUGUGACUUUGAGGCUGAGCUUUCUGCAAAAAGCCCAUGUACAUGAGGAGCAACAAUGACAGAAGCAAGUUCAAUUUUAAAAAGCAAUUGCAUGUCUGGCCUUGGUCUGUUUUUUGCAGUCCCUGCUGUAGAUUCAAACCUUAAUAAAAAGAUUAAUUAAAGGAAUGCAUUAUUUGCACAAGUAAUAUUUUUCAAAAGCUACAGAUUAACAGCACGACUGUCCACACUACAGAUUGCCUACCCCACUUAAAAGAGAUUUAUAAAACAUUCACCAUGAGCCUUUAUGGUCCACUGAGUCAUGGUAUAAUGAAAAAUCUUUGUGAGCUUCUGGCACCCUGCAGCGAUUGUUUAUAAUCCAAUAGAGGAGAAUUCCCCACUCUGUGGCAGGCAGUAAGUGCCAAUUCAUCUUCUGUGGGAUUUCAGCAAGCCAGUGUCAAAAUUAAGCUAUGAUGUUAUCAGAUGUGGCUAUUUUAAGAGAUGACUUUGCACUGAAUUAGAAGUUGACUGACACUAUUAUUUCCUGCCUUAAAAUUAAUUGAUGGGACACUGUUGUAUAUAAAAACAUAGCUUAAUUUAUUUUACACUUAAACAUGUUAAAAUAUAGCUGCCAAAACCCAUUAAGUAUUAUUAAUCAGAAGGAGUCUAUGCAUGCUAUAGGUCUAUAGGCUCAUCUAUGAAACCAUCAGCCCUGACAGACUAACUCAAGUAUAAAACAGAAAAAAAAAGUGUAAGUUGAACACUCUGAACUUCUCUAUCUGCAGAUUUCAAAAGUGUUUUACAAAAAUGAUCCCAUUCAGUCACCCCAGUGUACAUCCACGCCCUCAUAUGUCCUUCUAUAGGUAUAACAUGCCUACUAUAAGCAAUGCAGUUACCUGGGCUGUGUCUCUACCCUUUAUGGCUGGGAGUUUCAGAAUUGCCUGAGAGAAAGGUGCCCAACUCCUGCUGAAAUUCCCAACAUACAGCCUUCCAGUUGGAUGCAGUUUUAAAUCAACUCUCCCUCUGGGACAGAGCCACAGCAGGGCUUUGCAGAAAACUCAAGGCCAGUGAGACAUAACUCAUUUGACAGACUUAGGUAUUUAAAAACAGAAUAUUUUAACUACAUUAAAUUGGCUCCUUUGAGUGGGGCCAUCUGCCACUUGUUGUGAGGGGUGUGGCUGGACCAGGAAGCAGCAAUGGUCAGGACAAGUUAAAAAUCAUUUGCUUCAAGCCCAGAGGUCUCACUGCUGUCAUCUUUGGGGACUUACUGCAAGUGGAGCUAUACCUUAAAUCCACUGAGAGAUUGAAGCUGGAGCAGAAUGUGGCCACCUACCUCCUCUGAAAGGGAUCCUGCACUGAGCACAUGAUUCCAGAGUUCUCAUCUUCUGUGGCUGCCUACUAGGUUUUGGAGGGGAGUUCAAUGUGUUGCUCUUUUUCCAUGAAGUCCUAAAUGACAUGUGACCUGCCUACUGGAGGGGCUGAUUACUGCCAGAAGAGGCACUCCAGUGGGACCACCCUUGGUUUGCAAGCUGACAGGGCCUUCUCCAGGACAGGCCCUCAACUUUAGAACAUACUUCCCUUGCUUGGCCUGAAACAGGCCUAAACCAUGGGCUUUCAGGGCAAAACACUAAUACAAGCAAUACGAUUAUUCCCAGACAGUAGGACUUAGUGAUUGUGUUGUCAAAGGCACCUGGAGGAGGGAAUAGGUGCUUAUUUUAUAGCUUCAUGUUCAGAACAGUUACAGUGAAGCAUGUAGACGCUCCAUUAUUUACAUAGUGCCCAAAGGUUAGCAGGUGAGUUGUAGAUAGAAAAUCAUUUUAAAAAAGUCAUUUAAAGUGAACAUUGGAACAUCUGAUCUAACCUAACCUGCGUCGUCUCUGUGAUAGAAGCCAGCUGCAUGUAUUCAGAGUUUCCCCAUCCAAAGAGGUGUCCUUCAUCAGAUACAGCCAGACAGCUGUCCCCAUAGGUGGCAACCUGAACGAUAUUUACUCCAGCAAUAUCUCCGCCCAGUUUGGUGGGCACACUGGUGAUAUUGUAAUGGCCAAGACCUGAUAAGGGGAGAGAGAGAUGUGCUGUAAUGAAAUGCUGUACUUGUUCAUAUUAGAAAUAAGGCAGAUACCAUGAGCCUCAUGGUGCCAGUCAUCCGAAGACUGGAUCUUUUGAACCAACAUCAAAAAGAGAAAAAAAGUGCAACUGCUUCUGGGGAUGUGUUAUCUCAAAGCUAAAGCAAGAUCUGACUGAUACAUCCCUAGCAUGCCCCCUGUGGAGACCGCAGCUCAAAUCCUGUGUUCUAGCAGCUUGGUGACACAACUCAAGAGCCCACCAUGUAUAUUACAAAGAUCAAACUGUUUGGUACCCUGUCUGUCUCUGUAGAGGAGAUAGACAGCAGAGCACUUCAGAGCAGGCUAAUGCUACACUAAAAUGCUUGAUCUAAGAGGAUGGUUAAAUAGGAAUUGACUCAGGGAAGCCCUAGGGUCUGCGUAAUGCAGGAGAUCAAACUUAGAUGAUCACAAUAGUCCCUUCUGGCCUUAACCUAUGGAAGAGUUGCUGAGAACCUGCAUUUUCAGUGGGAGUUGCGGGUGCUCAACAUCUCCCAAGAUUUGGUGCUAACAGGGCUAUUUAAAAAAAGGCUCACCACGCUUUACCCAUGUCAAGUCAACAGGGGUGAGCCCCCCGUGAUAUUUUUUAUUAGACUGGGCGGUUGUGAACCAUUCUUGUACCAGCUCCACACUCUUGUUUCAUUUUGAGCAAACAAGUUGGUUUCUUACCUUGGUACCUAAUGAUCCAAGCCAAGGCCUAUCACCCAAAAACAUGCAUUGGGAACUAAUAGCAGCGGUAGCUAACACAACUAUCUUGAGCAAAUUAUGUUGCAGCAGUUCUUCCUCUAUAUGCUACAAAGCCAACCAAUUCCUACCCUCUGACUGGUGACUAUCAGCUCCGAUGUAACGCAGAGGAAUCUUUCUGCUCACACUUGGAAUUCAGACUGAUGCGUGCCACCCUGUAUUUUGGAGGUGGCUGUU